rnacentral:rRNA from 1 species
CGCGGCCUAUCAGCUUGUUGGUGAGGUAACGGCUCACCAAGGCAUCGACGGGUAGCUGGUCUGAGAGGACGAUCAGCCACACUGGGACUGAGACACGGCCCAGACUCCUACGGGAGGCAGCAGUAGGGAAUCUUGCGCAAUGGGCGAAAGCCUGACGCAGCAACGCCGCGUGGGGGAUGAAUGCCUUCGGGCUGUAAACCCCUUUCAGCAGGGACGAAAAUGACGGUACCUGCAGAAGAAGCUCCGGCCAACUACGUGCCAGCAGCCGCGGUAAUACGUAGGGAGCGAGCGUUGUCCGGAAUUAUUGGGCGUAAAGAGCUCGUAGGCGGUUCAGUAAGUCGGGUGUGAAAACUCAAGGCUCAACCUUGAGACGCCACUCGAUACUGCUGUGACUUGAGUCCGGUAGAGGAGUGUGGAAUUCCUGGUGUAGCGGUGAAAUGCGCAGAUAUCAGGAGGAACACCGGCGGCGAAGGCGGCACUCUGGGCCGGUACUGACGCUGAGGAGCGAAAGCAUGGGGAGCAAACAGGAUUAGAUACCCUGGUAGUCCAUGCCGUAAACGUUGGGCACUAGGUAUGGGAUCAUAUCAACGGAUUCCGUGCCGUAGCUAACGCAUUAAGUGCCCCGCCUGGGGAGUACGG